GCUGGAGCCAUAUUUGUUGGCAUCGGGAUGAGCGGAGCAGGGGACGUGGUGUGUGAAGGGUGGCUGAGAAAGUCACCCCCAGAGAAAAAACUGAGGCGCUAUGUCUUUCCCCUCUUGUAUUUAAGAAAUGACAAAACAAACCCACUUUUGGCCGCUCCCUUAUUCACAAGAGGUCCCCACAGCAGUUUUAGGACUCCACACCAAACUAAAUGAGAGUCACUAUCCACAAAAGAAGAAAACUUUGAAGAGUGGUGAACUUUCCCAGAAGCAGCUAGCCUUCAAAAAUUACUCCAAGACUGCACUGAUGA
ensembl:lncRNA